rnacentral:misc_RNA from 1 species
AAGUCGUAACAAGGUUUCCGUAGGUGAACCUGCGGAAGGAUCAUUAACGAGUAAACGGGGGAGUUGUGGCUGGUCCCUUCAAGGACAUGUGCACGCUCUCUCAACUCAAUUCAACCUUUACACCUGUGCACCCAUUGUAGGCUGGGGUGGCGUCAAGCCGCCCUUCCUAUGUUUUAUCAUAUAUACACCUGUUAGUCUCAGAAUGUCAUCUGCGUAUAACGCAUUUUUUGAAAACAACUUUCAACAACGGAUCUCUUGGCUCUC